rnacentral:rRNA from 1 species
AGCGCAGACGGUUAUUUAAGCAAGAUGUGAAAGCCCCGGGCUCAACCUGGGAACUGCGUUUUGAACUGGGUAACUAGAGUGUGUCAGAGGGGGGUAGGAAUUCCACGUGUAGCAGUGAAAUGCGUAGAGAUGUGGAGGAAUACCGAUGGCGAAGGCAGCCCCCUCGGGAUAACACUGACGUUCAUGCUCGAAAGCGUGGGGAGCAAACA